rnacentral:rRNA from 1 species
AUGGCGAACACCAAGAAGAGGGAGAUGGUGUUCUUCGACGUGGAGGCGGCGCCGCCGUCCGGCGAGUGCCGCCUGCUGGAGUUCGCCGCCAUCCUCGUCUGCCCGCGCCGCCUCGUCGAGGUCUCCAGCUACUCCACCCUCAUCCGCCCGGACGACGCCGGCGCCGACGGUGGCGUCCUCUCCGCCUCCUCCGCCGCGCCCUCGUUCGAGGACGUCUUCCCGGACAUCUUCGAGCUGCUGGACGGCCGCGUGUGGGCGGGCCACGGCAUCCGGCGCGCCGGCUGCCCGCGCGUGCGCGGGGCCUUCGCCGCCUUCGGCCUGCCCGCGCCGGAGCCCGUGGGCGUCGUCGACUCCCUCGACGCGGCGGCGGCGGCCCUGGCGGAGCACUUCGGGAUCGGCGCGCGGCGGGCGCGGGGGCUCCGGUGCCUGGACGGCGCGCGCGUGAGCCUCGAGGUGCUCAAGCACUGCGCCGGCGUGCUGCUGCUCGAGUCCAGCCUCCGCGGCGACGUGCCCGCCGGCGCCAGCCGCAGGAGCAAGCCGGCGGCGACGCCCAAUCCCAUCAGCAACAACACGCUGGAGAAGGCCAUGAUCCUCAGGCACUCGAGGGCCGUCAUCAGAUGA